GCGGAAGGGGGGGACUGGUAUAAAGCAGCAGGCGCCAGUGCCGCUCCAACUCACUGCAGUGCGGCUGGAGUCUGCUCUGCCCCCUCCCCACCAGUUCAACACCACCAUGACACCUGGCAUCCAGUCCCCCUUCUUCCUGCUGCUGCUUCUCCCAGUGCUUCCAGGUGAGGGGCCUGAGGUUUGGAGGGGGCUGCCCUGCUCAUGUGGUAUUCCUGGACUUUCUGUGGGUUUUAUUUCCUGGCAGAUGGCACCAUGAGAGUCAGAAAUUGCAGACAGGUGUGAACAGGUUGGUACCAGAAUGAAGGAGAGAGACUCAGGACAGGCUGAGAAGAGGCAGCCCUCAGGAGAGGGGGUGCAGGGGAAGAGAAUGUCCCGAAGAGAAGUCUAGGAGGGAAGGGAGUCGGGAAGGGUAAGUCUUAGGAGUGAAGAAAUGGACCAGCCAGGAGCAGAGGUGUAUGGGAAGAGUGGGAGAGGCUGCCAGCAGGGUAGGAGGAGGGGGGCAGACCCAGGGGCUGCCGACCAAUCCCCAGUCCUCCUGAUAUUACUUCUCCUGUUAGCAAAGGUUAUAUUUUCUCCUUGCUCUGAUUUGCCCUCCAACCCAGUAGUUCCUACAAUUUCUGGCUCCAAUUAGGUCAGAAAGUAACCCAGUGUCCAACUGUGUUGAGAGAAGUACUGUGAGAAUGACCAAAAGUUUACUCCCACCUCAGCUCUGGUUCAUGCUCUGCUGCCAUUCCAGGACAGAAUAGCGUUACCUUAUCUCAAGUCUCCAACACUGCCCUAAACUCGGCCAAUUCUGUGAUCACUGCAACUCCAAGCAGCAGAUCUCCAUCAGGCUCUGCCACCACCCCAGCACACCAUGGUACCUCAUCUGGGACCACUGGGGCU
rnacentral:lncRNA from 1 species